CGUCCUGUGUUAGUACCACCCCCUGCUGCUAAUCAGUGUGUGUGGCUAUGCUAACAGGACAGAGAAAGUGUAUCAGAGUCUGAAGAGGCUCCAGAGUCUCUCCUGUUGUCUCUAUAUGAACUGAUACAACAAUCACAA